AGCCGUUCUCAGUUCGGAUCGGAGUCUGNAACCCGACUCCGUGAAGCUGGAUUCGCUAGUAAUCGCGCAUCAGCCAUGGCGCGGUGAAUACGUUCCCGGGCCUUGUACACACCGCCCGUCAAGCCAUGGAAGCCGGGGGCGCUUGAAGUGCGUUGCCGCAAGGCGCGCCCUAGAGCGAAACCGGUGACUGGGGCUAAGUCGUAACAAGGUAGC
rnacentral:rRNA from 1 species